rnacentral:rRNA from 1 species
UACGAAGGGGGCUAGCGUUGUUCGGAAUUACUGGGCGUAAAGGGCGCGCAGGCGGCCCUCCAAGUCAGGCGUGAAAGCCCCGGGCUCAACCCGGGAAUAGCGCUUGAGACUGGGGGGCUUGAGUUCGGGAGAGGAGAGUGGAAUUCCCAGUGUAGAGGUGAAAUUCGUAGAUAUUGGGAAGAACACCGGUGGCGAAGGCGGCGACCUGGUCCUUGACUGACGCUGAGGCGCGAAAGCGUGGGGAGCAAACAGG